GGUUAAGCGACUAAGCGUACACGGUGGAUGCCCUGGCAGUCAGAGGCGAUGAAGGACGUGCUAAUCUGCGAUAAGCGUCGGUAAGGUGAUAUGAACCGUUAUAACCGGCGAUUUCCGAAUGGGGAAACCCAGUGUGAUUCGUCACACUAUCAUUAACUGAAUCCAUAGGUUAAUGAGGCGAACCGGGGGAACUGAAACAUCUAAGUACCCCGAGGAAAAGAAAUCAACCGAGAUUCCCCCAGUAGCGGCGAGCGGACGGGGAGCAGCCCAGAGCCUGAAUCAGUGUGUGUGUUAGUGGAAGCGUCUGGAAAGGCGUGCGAUACAGGGUGACAGCCCCGUACACAAAAAUGCACAUAUUGUGAGCUUGAUGAGUAGGGCGGGACACGUGGUAUCCUGUCUGAAUAUGGGGGGACCAUCCUCCAAGGCUAAAUACUCCUGACUGACCGAUAGUGAACCAGUACCGUGAGGGAAAGGCGAAAAGAACCCCGGCGAGGGGAGUGAAAAAGAACCUGAAACCGUGUACGUACAAGCAGUGGGAGCACGCUUAGGCGUGUGACUGCGUACCUUUUGUAUAAUGGGUCAGCGACUUAUAUUCUGUAGCAAGGUUAACCGAAUAGGGGAGCCGAAGGGAAACCGAGUCUUAACUGGGCGUUAAGUUGCAGGGUAUAGACCCGAAACCCGGUGAUCUAGCCAUGGGCAGGUUGAAGGUUGGGUAACACUAACUGGAGGACCGAACCGACUAAUGUUGAAAAAUUAGCGGAUGACUUGUGGCUGGGGGUGAAAGGCCAAUCAAACCGGGAGAUAGCUGGUUCUCCCCGAAAGCUAUUUAGGUAGCGCCUCGUGAAUUCAUCUCCGGGGGUAGAGCACUGUUUCGGCAAGGGGGUCAUCCCGACUUACCAACCCGAUGCAAACUGCGAAUACCGGAGAAUGUUAUCACGGGAGACACACGGCGGGUGCUAACGUCCGUCGUGA
rnacentral:rRNA from 1 species